ACUUGCCAUUGUGCUCAUUCGCACAUGCUUGUGAGGGUCGCUCCCUACAAGCUGGCACUUCGGAGAUAGCCAUCGCGAUACAUAUUCGCCGUGCGGGAUUGGGCGCCGAAGUGGAUUGCCGUGGGCUAGGCUCAUUCCUAGAGUGGGGAUGUUGACUACCACGGGGCCAUUAGGCUCGGCACCGGCCAGACAGCCUACGGGUGGGUCUCAGGGCCAGACAGCCUUCGGGCGGGUCUCUUCAGAUUUGACUUGGAGCAUUCAUCAUGCCAUGUGGACAUUGAUUAGAAUAGUAAGCAAUGACAUCUUUACUAUUUGACUUAUGGACAUCAUACUAGCGAUGCUUGGGUACAUUCAUACGAGAAUAGCUUUUCUUACUUAUACUAAAUCAUGCUAAGUAGAGAUAUCAUGUGGUAGCAAAUAUUCAUGCUUAUUUACUUGUCGUACAUAUCGCUCUUGUUUAUAUCUGCUUACUGACC
rnacentral:lncRNA from 1 species